rnacentral:tRNA from 1 species
ACUCUCUUAGUAUAAUCAAAGUACAACUGACUUCCAAUCAGUUGGACCUAGUAUAAGCCUAGGAGNGAGUA